rnacentral:tRNA from 1 species
GGAGAAAUGGCAGAGGGGAAUGCAUUUAGCUUGAAACUAAGACGAUAAAGGUUCGAAUCCUUUUUUCUCUU